rnacentral:rRNA from 1 species
AGGAUGAACGCUGGCGGCGUGCCUAACACAUGCAAGUCGAACGUCCUGUCUCGCAAGAGGCAGGGAGUGGCGGACGGGUGAGUACCACGUGGGUUAUCUACCGUGAGGUGAGGAAUACCGGCGAGAAAUCGCCGACAAGACCGCAUAGCCUCGGUGCAAGCCGAGGAAAGCUCUCUCGAGAGAGGGAGCGCCACACGAGGAGCCUGCGCCCGAUUAGCUAGCUGGUGGAGUAACGGUUCACCAGGGCGACGAUCGGUAGCUGGUCUGAGAGGACGAUCAGCCACACUGGGAUUGAGAACGGCCCAGACUCCUACGGGGGGCAGCAGUGAGGAAUUUUCGUCAAUGGGGGCAACCCUGAACGAGCAACGCCGCGUGCAGGAGAAGGUUUCGGAUCGUAAACUGCUUUUCUCGGGGAAGAGAACGGACGGUACCCGAGGAAUCAGCCCCGGCUAACUACGUGCCAGCAGCCGCGGUAA